AUGGUUAUACUUCAGUCAGUUGUGAAUGUGUCUUUGAUUUCAGGCAUCUUGCAAUAUCUGCAUUUCUAUCUAUACUUUGUUUCUUCACAAGGAUUGCAUGCAGCCACAGGAACAUCCAGAUUGAACGAUCUUCUAGUCCCUUUCUUGCUUCAUCAGGUGGCACACACAGCCCACAGCUCUAUGAAAUGUCUCUUCCCUUUGUUUCAAUUUAAAAUACAGUCUUGGAUUACAAUGGAUUUCAGCCCAAUCCAGAGUGCAGCAGCUAAAGUGAAGCUAAAAGACAUUUUCCCUCCAGCUGCCAAACCACAAUCUUAUUUAACAACAGAAAAGAAACAGUAUUAGAGUACACUAGAAAAUGUUU
rnacentral:lncRNA from 1 species